rnacentral:rRNA from 1 species
GUGUCAGCAGCCGCGGUAAUACGUAGGAUGCAAGCGUUGUCCGGAAUUAUUGGGCGUAAAGAGCGCGCAGGCGGUAACUCAAGUCAGAUGUGAAAUAUCCGGGCUUAACCCGGAGGGGUCAUUUGAAACUGAGUAACUAGAGUACAGCAGAGGAUAGCGGAAUUCCCGGUGUAGUGGUGAAAUGCGUAGAUAUCGGGAGGAACACCAGUGGCGAAGGCGGCUAUCUGGGCUGAAACUGACGCUGAGGCGCGAAGGCUAGGGGAGCAAACAGGAUUAGAUACCCUGGUAGUCC